rnacentral:rRNA from 1 species
AGGGAAGAAACCCCCCAAUGCGUUGGGGGCUGACGGUACCUUAAGAAUAAGCACCGGCUAACUCCGUGCCAGCAGCCGCGGUAAUACGGAGGGUGCGAGCGUUAUCCGGAAUUACUGGGUUUAAAGGGUGCGUAGGCGGAAUGAUAAGUCAGGAGUGAAAGCUUCCCGCUUAACGGGAGAAUUGCUUUUGAUACUGUUGUUCUUGAAUCAGGAUGAGGUUGGCGGAAUGUGGCAUGUAGCGGUGAAAUGCAUAGAUAUGCCAUGGAACACCGAUUGCGAAGGCAGCUGACUGGACCUGAAUUGACGCUGAGGCACGAAAGCGUGGGGAGCGAACAGGAUUAGAUACCCUGGUAGUCCACGCCCUAAAGGAUGCUAACUCGACGUUUGGUUUUAGGACUGAGCGUCCAAGGGAAACCGUUAAGUUAGCCACCUGGGGAGUACGAUCGCAAGGUUGAAACUCAAAGG